GGGGAAUAUUGGACAAUGGAGGAGACUCUGAUCCAGCAAUUCUGUGUGCACGAAGACGGUUUUCGGAUUGUAAAGUGCUUUCAGCAGGGAAGAAGAAAGUGACGGUACCUGCAGAAGAAGCGACGGCUAAAUACGUGCCAGCAGCCGCGGUAAUACGUAUGUCGCAAGCGUUAUCCGGAAUUAUUGGGCAUAAAGGGCAUCUAGGCGGCCAGAUAAGUCUGGGGUGAAAACUUGCGGCUCAACCGCAAGCCUGCCCUGGAAACUAUGUGGCUAGAGUACUGGAGAGGUGGACGGAACUGCACGAGUAGAGGUGAAAUUCGUAGAUAUGUGCAGGAAUGCCGAUGAUGAAGAUAGUUCACUGGACGGUAACUGACGCUGAAGUGCGAAAGCUAGGGGAGCAAACAGGGUUAGAUACCCUGGUAGUCCUAGCUGUAAACGAUGAUUACUGGGUGUGGGCAUGAAGAGUGUCCGUGCCGAAGCUAAUGCGAUAAGUAAUCCGCCUGGGGAGUACGGCCGCAAGGCUG
rnacentral:rRNA from 1 species